rnacentral:lncRNA from 1 species
CCUGGGCUUUCAUCUGUUUUAGGCUUUUUAUUUUUUGGUACCAGGGAUUUUUGGUGAUACUGGGGAAUGAACCCAGGGCCUUUACCCUGAGCUACAUCCCCAGCCCUCUUUUCACUUUUUGAAAUAGGAUCUUGCUGAAUUGCUAAAUUGCCCAGGCUGGAUUCUCCUGCCUCAGCCUACCAAUAAUUACAGACAUGUGACAACACACCUGGUCACUUGGGGGGUUUUCUGGGGAAAUAUGGUUGGAGCCCUGCACCCUUUUCCCUUCUCAUCUCUGCCCCGUCUCUUAGCAGAGGCCUAAGCCACACCCCCUACCUUGGACAAUCAGCCGGGCACUGGCCUGGGCCUGUCCCCAAGGUCCAUGUGCCCGGCAAACAUACAUCCCUUGACAGCUCUGGUCUAAAUUCUGGAGUCUGUAAAGAAAAAUGAAUGAGAUCAGGGAGUGAGACUGAUUGAGAAUGCUUUGCAAUUACGGGGGAGUUACCAGCAACACAGGUCAGUACCCAGGGCCAGCUUCAGGCCUCCUGUAGUGACCGCUGAGGCAGGCAGGUGGGGUGGGGUGGGUGCUACACCCAUUUCAGACAAAGAGACCCACUGCUCUAGAGCUCAAGGUCACAGUUCCCAAGUCACAGAGCUACUGUCUUUCUUCCCCUUUUACAGGCUCAAGAAAGAACUAAGUGUGUGUGAGAACCAGGCCUGUAUUACACGUGGAGGCUCAGGGAGGUCAAGUGACCUGCCCAAGGACUUCACUUCAGGCCCAGCCCCAUGUGAGCCAUGGGCUGUGGUGCCCAGGGCAGUCCUGCCCACCCCUACCCCCCCAUCACUCACCGGAGCACCCCGUCCUGCACGCUGUAGCCAGGAGGCAGCUGACCCCCUUCCUUGAACCAACGGAGCUGGGUGCCCCGGUCACUGGGCACGGCACAGUGGAACUCGGCGUUGGCCCCGAUGCUCUUGGUCUCCAGCUGUGGAGUGACCUGCACGGUGGGCGUGGCUUCUGCUGGGCCAUGGGUAUCAGGGAGAGAGCUGAAGGGGCCUUGGAGAGUAGGGAGAAGAUGGCAUUUCGGGUGGGACAGUGCAGGGGAGGCCUUUACCCUGCAAGUGUGGGUCCCUCAGUGCCUAUGGUGAGGUCACUGAAGGGCCCGGAAGAAAGUUGACCCCUCUGCCCACGCUGAGCCCAGCUGCUUACCUUGGACAAGCACCUGGGCGAAGGCCUCAGCUGAUCCCACCUUGUUGGUGACCUGGCAGAGGUAGCGGCCAGAGUCCUCAGGGCUGGCGGGCUCCAGGUGCAGCAGCUGGUUUCUGGUGGUCACCCUUCCAGGAAGGCUGCCGCCCACCCGACUCCACUGGAAGGUGAGCGGGGGUGUGCCGUGAGCCAGGCACUGCAGCUGCACCAGCUCCCCAGCCUGCACUGACACGUGCUCCGGAACUACGGUGGCGUACGGUGGGC